UAGGGAAUCUUCGGCAAUGGGGGGAACCCUGACCGAGCAACGCCGCGUGAGUGAAGAAGGUUUUCGGAUCGUAAAGCUCUGUUGUUAAGGAAGAACGAGUGUGAGAAUGGAAAGUUCAUGCUGUGACGGUACUUAACCAGAAAGGGACGGCUAACUACGUGCCAGCAGCCGCGGUAAUACGUAGGUCCCGAGCGUUGUCCGGAUUUAUUGGGCGUAAAGCGAGCGCAGGCGGUUAGAUAAGUCUGAAGUUAAAGGCAGUGGCUCAACCAUUGUAGGCUUUGGAAACUGUUUAACUUGAGUGCAGAAGGGGAGAGUGGAAUUCCAUGUGUAGCGGUGAAAUGCGUAGAUAUAUGGAGGAACACCGGUGGCGAAAGCGGCUCUCGGGUCUGUAACUGACGCUGAGGCUCGAAAGCGUGGGGAGCGAACAGG
rnacentral:rRNA from 1 species